UAGGGAAUCUUCCACAAUGGACGCAAGUCUGAUGGAGCAACGCCGCGUGAGUGAAGAAGGUUUUCGGAUCGUAAAGCUCUGUUGUUGGUGAAGAAGGAUAGAGGCAGUAACUGGUCUUUAUUUGACGGUAAUCAACCAGAAAGUCACGGCUAACUACGUGCCAGCAGCCGCGGUAAUACGUAGGUGGCAAGCGUUGUCCGGAUUUAUUGGGCGUAAAGCGAGCGCAGGCGGAAUGAUAAGUCUGAUGUGAAAGCCCACGGCUCAACCGUGGAACUGCAUCGGAAACUGUCAUUCUUGAGUGCAGAAGAGGAGAGUGGAAUUCCAUGUGUAGCGGUGGAAUGCGUAGAUAUAUGGAAGAACACCAGUGGCGAAGGCGGCUCUCUGGGCUGCAACUGACGCUGAGGCUCGAAAGCAUGGGUAGCGAACAGG
rnacentral:rRNA from 1 species